AAAAAAAAUAUUGAGCAUUUACAGACCAAUAGAAAGCAGAUGGAGAAAAACUGUAAAAACCAAUUUAUACUGUUAAUUGUUAAAACCAAUAGGAAAAAUAGAACUUAAGGUAUUGGCUAUUCGUUAAAAGUAAACAAUGGAAUUCAAAAUAAAGAUGCCAAGAUCUAUUGAAAACUAUAUAAAAAAAAAAUGUACUAACUAGAACUCAUGUUUAUUUUUCUGACAAAAGUAUUUUGUUGAUCAUGCACUAAGUACUAACGUAAUUUCUGUUUUUAUCUGUUAUCUUUUGGCCAAUUUAAUUUAGAGAGAGAGAGAGAGAGCUAAUAAUCACCCAGAUGAUUUCAGUAGAUGCUUUUUGUCCCAAUUGGGAUUACCUUAAUUGAUAAACUAGCACAUAAUUGCAUACUAGGGAUCUUGG
rnacentral:misc_RNA from 1 species